rnacentral:rRNA from 1 species
AACGAACGUUGGCGGCGUGCUUAACACAUGCAAGUCGAGCGCGAAUCCUUGCUUCGGCGAGGUAGUAGAGCGGCGAACGGGUGAGUAACACGUGAGUAAUCUACCUUCAAGUUUGGGAUAACGACCCGAAAGGGUUGCUAAUACUGGAUAAGACCACAACGCCUCUGGGCGAUGUGAGAAAAGGCUUCGGUCGCUUGAAGAUGAGCUCGCGUCCCAUUAGCUAGUUGGUGAGGUAAUGGCUCACCAAGGCUUCGAUGGGUAGCUGGUUUUAGAGGAUGAUCAGCCACACUGGAACUGACACACGGCCCAGACUCCUACGGGAGGCAGCAGUGGGGGAAUCUUGCGCAAUGGGGGAAACCCUGACGCAGCAACGCCGCGUGGGUGAUGAAGGCCCUUGGGUCGUAAAGCCCUGUCUGGAGGAAAGAAUCCCGCUCUCGCUAAUACCGGGAGUGGAUGACGGUACCUCUGAAGGAAGCACCGGCUAACUCCGUGCCAGCAGCCG